UACGUAGGGAGCAAGCGUUGUCCGGAAUUACUGGGCGUAAAGGGCGCGUAGGCGGGGUUAUAAGUUAGGUGUGAAAACGUAGGGCUUAACUUUACGAUUGCACUUAAAACUGUAAUUCUUGAGUACAGGAGAGGAAAGUGGAAUUCCUAGUGUAGCGGUGAAAUGCGUAGAUAUUAGGAGGAACACCAGUGGCGAAGGCGACUUUCUGGACUGUAACUGACGCUGAGGCGCGAAAGCGUGGGGAGUGAACGGGAUUAGAUACCCCCGUACGUCCCUGAGCGGGCUGGCAAGG
rnacentral:rRNA from 1 species